rnacentral:rRNA from 1 species
UGGGGAAUUUUGGACAAUGGGGGAAACCCUGAUCCAGCCAUCCCGCGUGUGCGAUGAAGGCCUUCGGGUUGUAAAGCACUUUUGGCAGGAAAGAAACGUCGCGGGUUAAUACCCCGCGGAACUGACGGUACCUGCAGAAUAAGCACCGGCUAACUACGUGCCAGCAGCCGCGGUAAUACGUAGGGUGCAAGCGUUAAUCGGAAUUACUGGGCGUAAAGCGUGCGCAGGCGGUUCGGAAGGAAAGAUGUGAAAUCCCAGAGCUUAACUUUGGAACUGCAUUUUUAACUACCGGGCUAGAGUGUGUCAGAGGGAGGUGGAAUUCCGCGUGUAGCAGUGAAAUGCGUAGAUAUGCGGAGGAACACCGAUGGCGAAGGCAGCCUCCUGGGAUAACACUGACGCUCAUGCACGAAAGCGUGGGGAGCAAACAGGAUUAGAUACCCUGGUAGUCCACGCCCUAAACGAUGUCAACUAGCUGUUGGGGUCUUCGGACCUUGGUAGCGCAGCUAACGCGUGAAGUUGACCGCCCGGGGAGUACGGUCGCAAGAUUAAAACUUAAAUGAAUUGACGGGGUCAUAGCUGUUUCCU